ACCUCUGGACGCAAACUUGGUGUAGGGAUUCUGACCUGAGCUGGGGUCUGCGCUUCCAGUGAAUGCUGUGGGAGCAAGUGCUGGUGACAGGUUAGCGGAUGGCCCUGGCACCAAUAAGGGCACUGGCUGGGCCGCCUGGGCGAGCUGGAGCCUACCAGAAAGCUUAGAUCCUGUGGCCAAGGGCACAGACCUUGGCGAAGUGGAGCGUGGCAGGCAGCCUGAUGACAGCGACUGCCCGUGAGAACUCUUCAUACAGAUGAAGAAUAUCCAAUAGCUGGAAUGAUGCAGUUUUGGAGGAUCUAAAAAUGGUGAUGACUUCUACUCCACCUUAGAAAGGCAGUUCUGUGGUGGACCAUGACACCAACCUUCCUUGAUGAGACCACUGCCUGGAUAAUCAGGAAUUGUUUAAAGUGAUUACAGAGGCCGAGAAGUCCCACAAUCUACUGUCUACAAUACAGAGACCCAGGAAAUCCAGUGGUAUAAUUCAGUCUGAGUCUGAAGACCAGAGAACCAGGGAGCCAGAGGUUUAAGUCACAGACCGAGUUUUAAGGCCUGAAAAUGAAGAGCAUCAAUGUCUGAUGGGGAGAAGAUGGAUGUCCCAGCUCAGGCAGAGAGAACAAAUUUGCCCAUCCUCUUCCUCAUUGUUCUACUCAGGACCUCAAUAGAUUGGAUGUUUCCCAACAGCAUUGAUGAUGGUGAUCUUCAUUACUCAGUCUAGCAAUUCAAAUGCUAAUCUCUUCCAUAAAUACCCACAAAGAUCCACCCAGAAAUAAUGUUUUACCAGAUAUCUGGGCAUCCCUUAGGCCAGUCAAGUUGACACAUUAAAAUUAAUCAUAACAGCAAGUAAAGGAGUUUCUCAUUGAUGCUUGCAUAGUCCUGACAUGGCAAGUUAUAUAUACUUUUUAGAAAUGUAUAAUUACAUAUAUUAUAAAGCAUAGAUCUUCAGUGUAUAACUCCCUGACUUUCAACACAUGCAUAUACCCGUGUAACCUGUAACACUAUCAAUAUUUCCAUAAUUUCAGAAAGUUCCCUGAUGUCUAGUCAUAAUCAGUUACCUGCCAUCAUCUGACCAGCCCCUUUUCUGAUCUUUUUCCACCACAGAUUAAUUUUGCCAGUUUUAGAACUUAUAUAAAUGGAAUGAUACAUAUAUAGUAUAGUAUUGAGUCUGGCUUGUUUCACUGAGCAUUUAUGUUUUUGAAAUUUAUGUAUGUUGAAGCAGAUAUCAGUAAUUUG